rnacentral:rRNA from 1 species
CGUGAGUAACCUGCCUUGGAGUGGGGAAUAACACAGUGAAAACUGUGCUAAUACCGCAUAAUGCAUUUGGGUCGCAUGAUUCUGAAUGCCAAAGAUUUAUCGCUCUGAGAUGGACUCGCGUCUGAUUAGCUGUUGGCGGGGUAACGGCCCACCAAGGCGACGAUCAGUAGCCGGACUGAGAGGUUGAACGGCCACAUUGGGACUGAGACACGGCCCAG